rnacentral:lncRNA from 1 species
CGAGUAGCUGGGACUACAGGUGCCCACCACCACGCCCAGCAAACACAGUAAAGGAGCUGUUUUAUAUCUGGUAGCACCUCAUGUUGACCCCAAUAUAAACGAGAAACAAGAGCCCAAGAAGCAGAGGAAGUUAGGAGAUAGUAAGCUGUCCAGAAAUUAGCCAACGACUGUGGAAUGGCUCUAGACUUCUGUAGCAAAUGGAAAUAUGAGUCUUGGCAGCUCUUUGGGGGAUGGAAGAAGACCAUGAAGCUCUAAGUGCUUCAGAGGAAUGGGGUUGCCAAAACAGAUGUGAGAGGCCCAGAGAGGAGGCUGGGCCAAUGCUGAAGGGUAUUAUUUUGGGGCUGAGUGCAGAAAUAAGAGAUGCGUGCUAAAAGGUCAUCGGUUUAGAACCAGCCCUAGAUCUCCUGGGAUCCUGCCCAGCUGAAUCUUCCUCCUUGUAACAUGGGCUUUGGGAAUUUGUGAGAGAUUUAAAUAAAGAUUUACUAAAGCAAUGUCUUCAAAGAGGUGUUUAAGAAGGAGAGGUUGGUCGGAACCAGAAAAUGCAUUCCUGGGAUGAUCUUUGGGAUACACCCAACUGACCCUCUGAAAAGUACCCUAAGGAUGGAGCUGUCCAUGACUGUCAGCUGACAGUCACAUUAUUGCCUUGUAAGUUGCUCUCUUGCCUGCUGCCAUGUGAGACGUG